rnacentral:rRNA from 1 species
ACUAGUAAUCGCAGAUCAGAAUGCUGCGGUGAAUGCGUUCCCGGGUCUUGUACACACCGCCCGUCACACCACGGAAGUUGGGGGCGCCCGAAGCCACUUAGCUAACCCAUUUGGGAAGCGAGUGUCGAAGGUGAAAUCAAUAACUGGGGUGAAGUCGUAACAAGGUAUC